UCUGUUGAUGAUGAUAAUAUUAUCUCUUAUAUUAUCACAGGUCUAGAUGAGACGUUCGAUCCGGUCAUCGCGUUGAUCGUCGGUCGAGCAGAACCGUUCUCGGUGGGAAAGGUUGUGUCUCAGCUUCUCAGCUUUGAAC
rnacentral:snoRNA from 1 species